rnacentral:rRNA from 1 species
GAUGAACGCUGGCGGCGUGCCUAAUACAUGCAAGUCGAGCGAACAGACGAGGAGCUUGCUCCUCUGACGUUAGCGGCGGACGGGUGAGUAACACGUGGAUAACCUACCUAUAAGACUGGGAUAACUUCGGGAAACCGGAGCUAAUACCGGAUAAUAUAUUGAACCGCAUGGUUCAAUAGUGAAAGACGGUUUUGCUGGCACUUAUAGAUGGAUCCGCGCCGCAUUAGCUAGUUGGUAAGGUAACGGCUUACCAAGGCAACGAUGCGUAGCCGACCUGAGAGGGUGAUCGGCCACACUGGAACUGAGACACGGUCCAGACUCCUACGGGAGGCAGCAGUAGGGAAUCUUCCGCAAUGGGCGAAAGCUUGACGGAGCAACGCCGCGUGAGUGAUGAAGGUCUUCGGAUCGUAAAACUCUGUUAUUAGGGAAGAACAAAUGUGUAAGUAACUAUGCACGUCUUGACGGUACCUAAUCAGAAAGCCACGGCUAACUGCGUG